ACAAGCCGGUCAACUCAACCAAGUCGAACCGUGGUGACGGCGAUGUGGAAACCAUCGCGCUGGAUGGAGCCACGUUUGAUGGGCAGGCGAGAGACCCAGACACCGGCAGAGGCUACUACUUCAACUCUCGCACAGGCGAACGGAAGUGGAAGGACUCACUGGAUGGUCUGUGACGACUUCUCAACAAUGGACUCCACUAAAGACGGCCUAUAUUUUUUUAAACAGACUGUAUGUGGUGGGACUGUUGGUAUCUACUGUUAUUUAGGUGUCUAGACUAUAAGUCCGUUUUUUUACCUCUAUUUAAUUUGUUCUACUUCUUGUAUCUGCGUUUACAAGGUCUUGUUCCGAAAUGUCUUUUUAUGUAUCCAGGGAACCUGAAAAAAAAGGAGUGUGAUACUGAUGAUAUAGAUAAGAAUAGAUUAAUGGGAUAAGAACACAAUUGAUACCAAGAUGGUCAUUUUAUCUUCAAGUUUAGCAGCUAGCCAAGUCAUGACCUCGGCAGUAACUUUAUGGCCACCAGAUACGACUCAAGAAGAGCACAUGAAUUUCUUAUCUUUAGUUAAGUUUGAUAAAGUAUACGAUUUCUAUCUUUGAACUUGGACCGUAAAAAUAAGAUUGAGACAAAUACAUGACGAGCGUCGCAUUCGACGUGAUAAUCAAUUUAUUGUGUACAAAAAAGAGUUUUCAUGGUUGAUCAGGAACCUUUCUCUAUCAUGUCACUUCAGGGUUGCGUUUAACAGUACUUUUCAAACGGCACCAAUAUGGGCUUAACGGUCACUUAUUGUGGAAAAUAAAGGAGUUUGUAUUAUGACCGUAUUUGGUAUAAGUUUUAACGUUGGUGUUAUUACUUGCUUACUUACCUGCUCAAUGCUAUCAGUGACAUCGACACGCGUUUAUUAUGUUGUCUAUGACAGAUCUAUAUUUUCUUUGAGACAACAAAGGCUUUAUAUUUAAUGUGUUUUUAUGCAGAAAUGUACAAUCCAGCUCUGGCGUGCACUUUUAAUGAAUUGUGCAAAUUGUGAUUUCACAUAAACCACUCAUAGAAAUGCAAGGCAUUGUGGAUUUGAUGGUUGUACACACUGAGUUUACUAUAUUGUCUGUCUAAUUUCGUUAUCAACUGUUACAAAGAUGUACGAAGAUGUUACAUUGUCGCUGUCUAUGUGAAAAAUACAUGUUUUUUAAAGAAAUAAAAUCUUUUUUCUUAAGUGGUUGGGUGUGAUAUUAAAAAUAAGUGCAUAAUAUCAUAAAGCCACAGAAAUAUAAUAUCAUGGAUAGAGGUGCAAACAUCUAGUUUGU